UUCCUCAAACCAGAUUGAAAUUUUAGAGCUUUUCCAGAAGACGACCUAAUUUUACUACUACUAGCAGAGUAAAAAGCUAAUUGGGGUAUAGGGUUUGCGACUGCAGAGAGAAAUGAAGCAAGAGUAGUACAACUAGCAGGAGCAGUAGUUCCUAAUGAAGCCGCUGCUUCCUGAGACUGAGCAAUGGUAAUAAUUAUGGCGGAAGAAGCUCUUCUCUGCAUCGUCCUCAUCGUCUCCUGGUCUGAGAUGAAUUCUUGAUCUCUGUUGUUCUAGUAACUCAUUUCCUGCU
rnacentral:lncRNA from 1 species